UCACCACUCGACAUUCGACUAUCGACUAAUCGAGUUCGCCUUCGCACAGUCGCACUUCGCAGUUGGCAUUUAUUCACCUUAGCGAUCGCAUUAUUUAUCUGUUAUAUUGCGUAAUUUAUGUUCGUGUCAUCUAAUGUAAAGAUUUUUUCGACAAUUUUGCGAGUUAGCACCUAAAAUUCUCGCGAUUUUAAUGUAUUAACCGGAUCGUUUUCCGCGUUGGUUAAUUACUAGUUUAAAUUUCGUACUUCGGUGUCGAUCUUUUGAUGAAAUGCGUGUCGACCAAUCGGUUUUUGAACAAAUUCGGUCAUUUUUCCACUCUAUUCGGUGCGCAACUCAACCGGUUCGGGCAAUUGUUUCUGCUUUUUUGGAUACCCUUUUUUUCCGAGCGUUCUAUUCUAUGCGCGGUCCAAUUUCAUCGCAAUUUUAUCAAUCCUACGGUGUCGCAAAAAUUGAAUUUUUUUUUUCUUUUGUUCGUUAAUUAAAAUUUAAUUUCGAAGUCGCGUUACGUAGCGAGUACAUUCGCCUUGAAUUUUGCAACAAGCUGGAAAAUGUGGGGUUACCUAAUUUCUUCAAAACUCGAGGAACGUUUGAAAAAUGGCAAAAAGUUAAUGAAUUCUUGACAUCAGUCGAAGGGUGGAUCAAAGAUAUCAUCGACCAGAAGAAUAAAGUGAAAAAAAGCUUUGAACGCUUUCAGUUCUGGCACCACUACUGUCAAUGGUGGAACCAGUCCUGCGAUCCUAGAAACUUUUGUUCCUCGAGGUCACAUCCGUGAUGAAAAUGCAGAGGCAAUUAAUGAAAGCAGACAAAAUUUAGUAAAUGUAAAAACAUGAACCGCCAAGAGGGAGUGAAUUUUGAAUUUCCGAAGAUUCGCAAAAAAUCAAUUUUUGGGUUGCUGAAAUAUUUCAUGGAGAUUUCAGUGUAUAUGGGCCAGUGAUCCAUCCAGAUUUCGAUUUCACGAUCAAGCUAUCGACAGGAGCACGAUCUUGCAUGGUUGACUUUCUGCUCUGAUGAGGAAAUAUCAUCAUUGAUGGCACAUAUUUUCCCCCAGGUGACAUACAUGGAAAUAUUGUUACGAGUCCACCUCGUUCAACCGAAGACAGCUUAAUGAAUUUACACCAAAACAACAUUCAAAAUUACUACUGGGAAUAAUCAGAUUUCAAUCCUAGUUACUCCUGUGGUGUUGACGUGUAGAGAUACUUUUGUACUCGUAUUUUAAAUGGAACCACAGUUCGCACAUUGAAGCUGUUUUUAUGUUAUUUAUAGAAGAUUUUCAUUGAGUAAAUUUUACAGUUUGAAC